GCAGUCGAGCGAAUGGAUUAAGAGCUUGCUCUUAUGAAGUUAGCGGCGGACGGGUGAGUAACACGUGGGUAACCUGCCCAUAAGACUGGGAUAACUCCGGGAAACCGGGGCUAAUACCGGAUAACAUUUUGAACCGCAUGGUUCGAAAUUGAAAGGCGGCUUCGGCUGUCACUUAUGGAUGGACCCGCGUCGCAUUAGCUAGUUGGUGAGGUAACGGCUCACCAAGGCAACGAUGCGUAGCCGACCUGAGAGGGUGAACAACCAUACUGGGACUGAGACACGAACAAAAUACAUACGGGAGGCAGCAGUAGUCAAUCUUCCGCAAUGGACGAAAGUCUGACGGAGCAACGCCGCGUGAGUGAUGAAGGCUUCCGGGUCGUAAAACUCUGUUGUUAGGGAAGAACAAGUGCUAGUUGAAUAAGCUGGCACCUUGACGGUACCUAACCAGAAAGCCACGGCUAACUACGUGCCAGCAGCCGCGGUAAUACGUAGGUGGCAAGCGUUAUCCGGAAUUAUUGGGCGUAAAGCGCGCGCAGGUGGUUUCUUAAGUCUGAUGUGAAAGCCCACGGCUCAACCGUGGAGGGUCAUUGGAAACUGGGAGACUUGAGUGCAGAAGAGGAAAGUGCAAUUCCAUGUGUAGCGGUGAAAUGCGUAGAGAUAUGCAGGAACACCAGUGGCGAAUGCGACUUUCUGGUCUGUAACUGAC
rnacentral:rRNA from 1 species